rnacentral:rRNA from 1 species
CCCUUAGAUGCUCUGGGCCGCACGCGCGCUACACUGGUCGAUGCAACGAGUUUCUUUCCUUGGCCGACAGGCCUGGGCAAUCUUUGAACAUCGAUCGUGAUCGGGAUAGAUUCUUGUAAUUUUUGAUCUUAAACGAGGAAUUCCUAGUAAACGCAAGUCAUCAGCUUGCAUUGAUUACGUCCCUGCCCUUUGUACACACCGCCCGUCGCACCUACCGAUUGAAUGGUCCGGUGAAUAAUUCGGACUGCAGCAGUGUUCAGUUCCUGAACGUUGCAGCGGAAAGUUUAGUGAACCUUAUCACUUAGAGGAAGGAGAAGUCGUAACA